rfam:Pseudomonas sp. Bc-h sc_011, whole genome shotgun sequence.
UCGUAAGUCGUUGCUAGGCAAUCGCCAGCAGCGACGAGCUUCGUUCAUCCCGGAUGGAUGAACGAGGUUUCACCAGAAAAAGGAA